rnacentral:rRNA from 1 species
AACGAACGCUGGCGGCAGGCCUAACACAUGCAAGUCGAGCGCCCUGCAAGGGGAGCGGCGGACGGGUGAGUAACGCGUGGGAAUUUUCCUGGAGUACGGAACAACCGAGGGAACUUCGGCUAAUACCGUAUGAUGCCGAGAGGCCAAAGAUUUAUCGCUCUGGGGUGAGCCCGCGUCAGAUUAGGUAGUUGGUGGGGUAAUGGCCUACCAAGCCUGCGAUCCGUAGCUGGUCUGAGAGGACGAUCAGCCACACUGGGACUGAGACACGGCCCAGACUCCUACGGGAGGCAGCAGUGGGGAAUCUUGCGCAAUGGGCGAAAGCCUGACGCAGCCAUGCCGCGUGAGUGAAGAAGGUCUUAGGAUU